UGAUUAUAAGCUCAGAUUGAACGCUGGCGGGAUGCUUUACAUGCAAGUCGAACGGCAGCACGGACUUCGGUCUGGUGGCAGUGGCGAACGGGUGAAGUAUGUAUCCGGAACGUGCCCUAGUAGCGGGGGAUAACUGCCGUAGCUAAUACCGCAUACGCCCUUCGGGGAAAGCAGGGGACCUUCGGGCCUCACUAUUGAAGCGGCCGAUAUCGGAUUAGCUAGUUGGUGGGGUAACGGCUCACCAGAAUGACGAUCCGUAGCUGGUUUGAGAGGACGACCAGCCACACUGGGACUGAGACACGGCCCAGACUCCUACGGGGAGGCAGCAGUGAAAUUUUGGACAAUGGGAAACCCUGAUCCAGCCAUCCCGCGUGUGCGAUAGAGGCCUUCGGGUUGUAAAGCACUUUUGGCAGGAAAACGGCGCGGGAUAAUACCCCGUGCAACUGACGAGCACCUACAGAAUAAGCACCAACCCAACUACGGUACCAGCAAUAUGAUACAGCGGUGCAAGCGUUAAUCGGAAUUACUGGGCGUAAAGCGUGCGCAGGCAGUUCGGAAGAAAGAUGUGAAAUCCCAGAGCUUAACUUUGGAACUGCAUUUUUAACUACCGAGUAGAGUGUGUCAGGGGAGGUGGAAUUCCGCGAUGUAGCAGUGAAAUGCACGUAGAUAUGCGGGAAGACACUGACUGGCGAAGGCAACCUCCUGGGACAACACUGACGCUCAUGCACGAAAACGUGGGGAGCAAGCAGGAUUAGAUACCCUGGUAGUCCGCCUAACGUCACUCAACCAGCUGUUGGUCCUUCGGAGCGCCCGGCUAGCUAACGCGGGAUUGACCGCCUGGAGGCACGAUUCCUUAGGAAUUAAAACUCAAGGAAUUGACGGGGACCCGCACAAGCGGUGGAUGAUGUGGAUUAAUUCCUGCAACGCGAAAGGCCUUACCUACCCUUGACAUGUCUGGAAUCCCGAGAGAUUUGGGAGUAACAAGAGAACGGAACACAGGUGCUGCAUGGCUGUCGUCAGCUCGUGUCGUGAGAUGUUGGGUUAAGUCCACAGCAAGUACCAACCCUUGUCGUGGAUUUGCUGAACUCUAAUGAGACUGCCGGUGACAAACCGGAGGAAGUGGGGAUGACGUCAAGUCCUCGGCGGCUGGGUAGGGCUUACACGUCAUACAAUGGUCAAGGACAGAGGUCGCCAACCCGCGAGGGGGAGCCAAUCCCGAAACCCGAUCGUGGUCCGGAUCGCAGUCUGCAACUCGACUGCGUGAAGUCGGAAUCGCUAGUAAUCGCGGAUCAGCAUGUCGCGGUGAAUACGUUCCAGGGUCUUGUACACACGCCCAUCACACCAUGGUGGGUUUUGCAAGUAGUUAGCCUAACCGUAAGGAGGGCGAUUACCACGGUAGGAUUCAUGACCUGGGGGGUGAAGUGUAACAAGGUAG
rnacentral:rRNA from 1 species